CACUAAAUGGCUGAAAGUAAGUAAUGACCUCUUAAGUCAUAUAAUAGUAAUUAACAACUACUUAUAGUGA
rnacentral:tRNA from 1 species